GGUGUGAAGGGGUGAUGGUCGGGUAUAAAAACCGUGUGACUGUCGCCCGCCCCAACACAACCAGUCACCAUGGACCACUCUUACCUCCUGCUGCUGCUCUUCCUGGGAGCAGCAGCCGUCGUUAAUGGUGGCAUGACAACUGUCUCCUCCAAGGCUGGUGGCACCAGCUGCACAUCACCAUUCCAUGAUGUGGGAGGACGCUGCCUCUAUGUUGACGUCUCGAACACAGGCAGCUGGGAUACAAUGCGCACCCACUGUAGGAGUCUUGGCGGCGACCUGGCCAUCCUGAACGACGCUGAAGUGUACUCCUCCCUCAUCCGCUACAUUCACGGCAGCGGUAUUCCCAGAACUA